rnacentral:rRNA from 1 species
AUGGAUCAAGAUGAUGGUCUGCAUCACCCCGCCGUCGACCUUGUCGCCAGUGACCCCGCCUGCCCGACCCCAACAUCCAGGACCUCUCUUCAGAAAGUUUGUGCUCUUAUCACUACAUUCAACGAAUUCAAACGCAGGCUGGUUGUAGAAAUUGGUUUUGGUGGCAUGUUGCGUCUCCCGGCUAUAACUAGGCUUAAUUUAAAAUUCAGCACAUGGAUCAUGAGCAUGGUCGAUGGUCCGAACAGAUGCAUCAAGUUAUCUCAUGAUAGAUCUAUUAAAUUCUGGCUAGAGGAUAUCCACAAAGUUUUUGGCAUACCAUGUGGCACAAUAGGCAUCCAUAGCCCUGAAUAUCAACAAGCCGAAAGUUCAGUUUAG